AAGUUAGCGGCGGACGGGUGAGUAACACGUGGGUAACCUGCCCAUAAGACUGGGAUAACUCCGGGAAACCGGGGCUAAUACCGGAUAACAUUUUGCACCGCAUGGUGCGAAAUUCAAAGGCGGCUUCGGCUGUCACUUAUGGAUGGACCCGCGUCGCAUUAGCUAGUUGGUGAGGUAACGGCUCACCAAGGCAACGAUGCGUAGCCGACCUGAGAGGGUGAUCGGCCACACUGGGACUGAGACACGGCCCAGACUNNNACGGGAGGCAGCAGUAGGGAAUCUUCCGCAAUGGACGAAAGUCUGACGGAGCAACGCCGCGUGAGUGAUGAAGGCUUUCGGGUCGUAAAACANNNUANUCUGUUGUUAGGGAAGAACAAGUGCUAGUUGAAUAAGCUGGCACCUUGACGGUACCUAACCAGAAAGCCACGGCUAACUA
rnacentral:rRNA from 1 species